rnacentral:rRNA from 1 species
GAUGAACGCUGGCGGCGUGCCUAAUACAUGCAAGUCGAGCGAACAGACGAGGAGCUUGCUCCUCUGACGUUAGCGGCGGACGGGUGAGUAACACGUGGAUAACCUACCUAUAAGACUGGGAUAACUUCGGGAAACCGGAGCUAAUACCGGAUAAUAUAUUGAACUGCAUGGUUCAAUAGUGAAAGACGGUUUUGCUUUCACUUAUAGAUGGAUCCGCGCCGCAUUAGCUAGUUGGUAAGGUAACGGCUUACCAAGGCAACGAUGCGUAGCCGACCUGAGAGGGUAAUCGGCCACACUGGAACUGAGACACGGUCCAGACUCCUACGGGAGGCAGCAGUAGGGAAUCUUCCGCAAUGGGCGAAAGCCUGACGGAGCAACGCCGCGUGAGUGAUGAAGGUCUUCGGAUCGUAAAACUCUGUUAUUAGGGAAGAACAAAUGUGUAAGUAACUAUGCACGUCUUGACGGUACCUAAUCAGAAAGCCACGGCUAACUACGUG